rnacentral:rRNA from 1 species
UACGUAGGGGGCGAGCGUUGUCCGGAAUUACUGGGCGUAAAGAGCACGUAGGCGGAACUUUAAGUCAGGUGUGAAAGACCGAGGCUCAACCUCGGGAUUGCAUUUGAGACUGGAGUCCUUGAGUGCAGGAGAGGAAAGCAGAAUUCCUGGUGUAGCGGUGAAAUGCGUAGAAAUCAGGAGGAAUACCAGUGGCGAAGGCGGCUUUCUGGACUGUCCCUGACGCUGAGGUGCGAAAGCGUGGGUAGCAAACGGG